rnacentral:rRNA from 1 species
AGUGAACGCUGGCGGUAGGCCUAACACAUGCAAGUCGAACGGCAGCACAGUAAGGGCUUGCUCUUACGGGUGGCGAGUGGCGGACGGGUGAGGAAUACAUCGGAAUCUACUUUUUCGUGGGGGAUAACGUAGGGAAACUUACGCUAAUACCGCAUACGACCUACGGGUGAAAGCAGGGGAUCUUCGGACCUUGCGCGAUUGAAUGAGCCGAUGUCGGAUUAGCUAGUUGGCGGGGUAAAGGCCCAUCAAGGCGACGAUCCGUAGCUGGUCUGAGAGGAUGAUCAGCCACACUGGAACUGAGACACGGUCCAGACUCCUACGGGAGGCAGCAGUGGGGAAUAUUGGACAAUGGGCGCAAGCCUGAUCCAGCCAUACCGCGUGGGUGAAGAAGGCCUUCGGGUUGUAAAGCCCUCUUGUUGGGAAAGAAAAGCAGCAGGUUAAUACCCCGCUGUUCUGACGGUACCCAAAGAAUAAGCACCGGCUAACUUCGUG